rnacentral:rRNA from 1 species
UACAGAGGGUGCAAGCGUUGUUCGGAAUUAUUGGGCGUAAAGAGCUCGUAGGCGGUCUGUCACGUCGGCUGUGAAAACCCGAGGCUCAACCUCGGGCCUGCAGUCGAUACGGGCAGACUAGAGUUCGGUAGGGGAGACUGGAAUUCCUGGUGUAGCGGUGAAAUGCGCAGAUAUCAGGAGGAACACCGGUGGCGAAGGCGGGUCUCUGGGCCGAUACUGACACUGAGGAGCGAAAGCGUGGGGAGCGAACAGG